rnacentral:rRNA from 1 species
UACGUAGGGAGCGAGCGUUGUCCGAAGUUACUGGGCGUAAAGCGCGCGUAGGCGGAUCUGCAAGUCGGGGGGUGAAAUCCCGGAGGCUCAACCCUCGGAACUGCCUUCGAUACUGCGGGUCUCGAGUCCGGGAGAGGUGAGUGGAAUUCCUAGUGUAGAGGUGAAAUUCGUAGAUAUUAGGAAGAACACCAGUGGCGAAGGCGGCUCACUGGCCCGGUACUGACGCUGAGGCGCGAAAGCGUGGGGAGCAAACAGG